GUGGGGAAUUUUGGACAAUGGGCGCAAGCCUGAUCCAGCAAUGCCGCGUGCAGGAAGAAGGCCUUCGGGUUGUAAACUGCUUUUGUACGGAACGAAACGGUCCUGGCUAAUACCUGGGGCUAAUGACGGUACCGUAAGAAUAAGCACCGGCUAACUACGUGCCAGCAGCCGCGGUAAUACGUAGGGUGCGAGCGUUAAUCGGAAUUACUGGGCGUAAAGCGUGCGCAGGCGGUGCUGUAAGACAGGCGUGAAAUCCCCGGGCUCAACGUGGGAAUUGCGCUUGUGACUGCAGUGCUGGAGUGCGGCAGAGGGGGAUGGAAUUCCGCGUGUAGCAGUGAAAUGCGUAGAUAUGCGGAGGAACACCGAUGGUGAAGGCGAUCCCCUGGGCCUGCACUGACGCUCAUGCACGAAAGCGUGGGGAGCAAACAGGAUUAGAAACCCCUGUAGUCC
rnacentral:rRNA from 1 species